rfam:Schistosoma mansoni, Puerto Rico, WGS project CABG01000000 data, contig: 0129
AGCCUCCUGAAUCCAUGUCGAGAUUUCGUCAGACACCAAACCAUCAGUACUCAUGAGACUCCCGAGAGAAGUGAAGCG